UACGUAGGGUGCGAGCGUUGUCCGGAUUUAUUGGGCGUAAAGAGCUCGUAGGCGGUUUGUCGCGUCUGCUGUGAAAACCUAAGGCUCAACCUUGGGCUUGCAGUGGGUACGGGCAGACUAGAGUGCGGUAGGGGUGACUGGAAUUCCUGGUGUAGCGGUGGAAUGCGCAGAUAUCAGGAGGAACACCCGAUGGCGAAGGCAGGUCACUGGGCCGCAACUGACGCU
rnacentral:rRNA from 1 species